rnacentral:rRNA from 1 species
AACUCAAAGGAAUUGACGGGGGCCCGCACAAGCGGCGGAGCAUGCGGAUUAAUUCGAUGCAACGCGAAGAACCUUACCUGGGUUUGACAUACGCCGGAAAGCGCCAGAGAUGGUGCCCCUUUUUGUCGGUGUACAGGUGGUACAUGGCUGUUGUCAGCUCGUGUCGUGAGAUGUUGGGUUAAGUCCCGCAACGAGCGCAACCCUCGUCCUAUGUUGCCAGCACGUUAUGGUGGGGACUCAUAGGAGACUGCCGGGGUCAACUCGGAGGAAGGUGGGGAUGACGUCAAGUCAUCAUGCCCCUUAUGUCCAGGGCUUCACGCAUGCUACAAUGGCCGGUACAAAGGGCUGCGAUGCUGUAAGGCGGAGCGAAUCCCAAAAAGCCGGUCUCAGUUCGGAUUGGGGUCUGCAACUCGACCCCA